rnacentral:rRNA from 1 species
GAUGAACGCUGGCGGCGUGCCUAAUACAUGCAAGUCGAGCGAACAGACGAGGAGCUUGCUCCUCUGACGUUAGCGGCGGACGGGUGAGUAACACGUGGAUAACCUACCUAUAAGACUGGGAUAACUUCGGGAAACCGGAGCUAAUACCGGAUAAUAUAUUGAACCGCAUGGUUCAAUAGUGAAAGACGGUUUUGCUGUCACUUAUAGAUGGAUCCGCGCCGCAUUAGCUAGUUGGUAAGGUAACGGCUUACCAAGGCAACGAUGCGUAGCCGACCUGAGAGGGUGAUCGGCCACACUGGAACUGAGACACGGUCCAUGGUCCUACGGGAGGCAGCAGUAGGGAAUCUUCCGCAAUGGGCGAGAGCCUGACGGAGCAACGCCGCGUGAGUGAUGAAGGUCUUCGGAUCGUAAAACUCUGUUAUUAGGGAAAAACAAAUGUGUAAGUAACUAUGCACGUCUUGACGGUACCUAAUCAGAAAGCCACGGCUAACUACGUG